rnacentral:rRNA from 1 species
GGGUAGGGGAGCGUUCUGUAAGCGGUUGAAGGUGUGUGGUAUCGCAUGUUGGACGCAUCAGAAGUGCGAAUGCUGACAUGAGUAACGAUAAAGGGGGUGAUAACCCUACUCGUCGGAAGACCAAGGGUUCCUGUCCAACGUUAAUCGGGGCAGGGUAAGUCGUCUCCUAAGGCGAGGCCGAAUGGCGAAGUCGAUGGGAAACGGGUUAAUAUUCUCGUACUUCUUACAAUUGCGAUGGGGGGACGGAGAAGGUUAGGUGGGCCUGGCGACGGUUGUCCAGGUUGAACUGCGUAGGCUUGAGUGUUAGUUAAAUCCGGCUCUUUCUGAGGCUGAGACUCUACGUCGGGCACCUACGGGUGUGCAGUCAUUGUUGCCAUGCUUCCAGGACAAGCCUCCAAGCUUCAGAUGGUAAGGAACCGGACCCCACCCCGACA